CCAAGAGGAAAAUCCUCAAGGUUUGCAGGCUCUUUCUCCGAAGCCAGUAGUGACCGCGCCCCAAGAAGAAACCCCAG
rnacentral:ribozyme from 1 species